rnacentral:rRNA from 1 species
UACGUAGGGGGCAAGCGUUGUCCGGAAUCAUUGGGCGUAAAGAGCGUGUAGGCGGCUCGGUAAGUCCGCUCUGAAAGCCCGGGGCUCAACCCCGGGAGGCGGGCGGAUACUGUCGGGCUAGAGUCCGGAAGAGGCGAGUGGAAUUCCUGGUGUAGCGGUGAAAUGCGCAGAUAUCAGGAAGAACACCCGUGGCUAAGGCGGCUCUCUAGUACGGUACUGGCGCUGAGACGCGAAAGCGUGGGGAGCGAACAGG